ACUAACGCUCAUACCACGUCUUUCCACCGGUUCUCGUCCGAUCACCGAAGUUAAGCGACGUUGGGCGCGGUCAGUACUUGGAUGGGUGACCGCUUGGGAACACCGCGUAGCGUCGGUC
rnacentral:rRNA from 1 species